AACAUGGUAAUAAUAAUUUAGUUUGAAUCCGCAUACCUCCUACACCUUUUAAAUUUAAAAAAGAGAGAAGAUUUGAACUCCAAAUCGUGAACACACGAUAAAAAAAGUGUGGUCAUUUCCCCUCCCUCCUUUUACAUUUUCUUCCCGCGCAGUUGGCUUCAUUUUUCAAAAUUGGCUCCAUAUUCCCGAGAAAAUUCAUGACACAACUAAAUCCCAAAUCCUAAACCCUAGAAUAGAGACCAGAGAGAUGCGCGAUGCAGAUUCCACCAACUUCACCAAAACAAUCGGCUCAAUCUGUUACGAAGACCUCAAGCCCGUUUCUGAGGACCUCCAAUCCAUCUCCAUCUGCGGCCAUGUCUUCCACGAGCUCUGUCUGCAACAGUGGUUCGAGUACUCUGCAAGGGCGAAGAAGUACACUUGCCCGGUGUGCAAGCAGAAGGAUGCCGGCCGGCUUUAUUUUCAGUCGGUGGGGGACGCGGCGGAUGCGACUCUGAGGCCGAUUAGCAAAUGAGAAGAUCCCCAGGUGCUGCGUCUAGAGGUGAAAAGGUUGGAGGUGGCAGAGCUGGGGAUUCGUUCGGCUUUCGGGCUUCAGGCGAGGGAGCUUAAGGAGCUUAAAGAGGAGCUUUGUCAAUGUACGGAGGUGGCACAGAAAGAAGUUGUGUUUUAAAAUGAAGCAUUGAAACAACAAGCAUACAUGUAGCUGCAGCUUAAGAUGAAAACCGCUGUAGUUUCCAAGUGCUCAUUGGUAUCGGAUCUAGAUCUGGAUGAAGAUGGGGUUUCAAAGCUUUCGACUCUUGGUAAUGGAGCCAACACCAAAGACACGAUAGAUAUUAUACGAAAGUCCUCGGAGAUGAGUAAGAGGAAUUACAAAGACUUAAUAAACAAAUACAAUGGUCUUGCACGAGAAGCUCGUGAGAGCAAAAAACUGGAGCAGGAGGCUAAAAGAUUAAAAAACUGAAGAUAAAGGGUACAAGAACUGGAGACAGUUGUCAAAGUAAAAGAUAAUGAAGUUUUGAGGGCUUUAAAAGUUUCAAAGACAACUUGGGGUGAAGGAAUUAUGCAGAAUGGUGGAUUAUGUAACACUAAUUCAGUGUCUGUCAACAGUUCACCAGAAGUUCAAAGAAAACAUCCUUAUGCUUCCAUCCGUAACUUGGAUAGGACUGAAAGCGAAAAUGAUCUACUGUGUCAUAGGAAAACAGAAAACUCAAACUUCACUGACCAUCUGGAUCGAAGUUGUACUAAAAUGGUACAAGCACCAUUGCUCAUGAUAAAGUAAGAGAUGCCUACUCUUUAAUAGAUAAAGAUGCUCCAAAACUUUCCACAGCUAAGCGUGGACUUUCAAAUCCCUAAUUGAAAGAAUAAAUCUAUGAGGAUGUUGUUAACUAGAAGUGCACUCGAUUGAGGUCAGAUGCAGUUUCUGAUACUAGGAAAGAAACUCCCACUUGUAACGAUACUGCCAGAACUCCUGCUACUGACAUUGCUGAUGUUGUUAUUCUUGAUGAUGUUGAACAAGAUUACCCAUGUUUAACAUUAGAAAGGAGCCUCAUAUCCCACAACCGCUUCCCGGACCAGGGGAUGUUUGAUUUUCUGGGGACUUGCUUGGGUUUGAUGGAACAAACAGGUAUUUAGGUAAAUGGUGCAAGUGGGGUCUGAAUCAAAGUUCUGGUAAUUUGAUUGUUGCAGGAGCUGAUGGAAGAGGUGGUAGAAUCAAAGUUCUGAGAUCACUGAAUCAAUCUACAGUGGUGAGUCUUUGUCAAUCCAAGAUUCCAAGGUGCAGGCAAGUAUACAAGUUGCAACAGCAACUUCAAGUGAAAUAUGAGGGUAUUCGAUUUAGAUCUGGAUAAAGAGGAGGUCCCAUAUCUUGCUACUUUUGGUGAUGGGGCCAACAACAAGGACACAAUAGAAGUUCUAAGCGUUUCCUUGGCGACGUUUAAUUGGUCAGCCAUCUAAAUCUUAUUUUGAACUAUAGUUAAUUUAAUGGAAGGAGAAAACUGUUUGACAUUGGCUAUAUGUAGUGUUUCUAUCUCAAA